UGCCUUUGUCAGAUUUGAGACGCUUUGACU
rnacentral:piRNA from 1 species